AUGGGGGGGUCUCUGUGGGUGUCGGGUCCCUGUGGGUGGGGGGGGUCCCUGUGGAUUGGGGGGGUCCCUGUGGGUGGGGGGUCCCUGAGGAUGGGGGGUCCCUGUGUAUGGGGUGGGUCCCUAUGGAUAUGGGGUGAGGUUUUGGGUGUUUGGGGGUCCCUGUGGAUGCAGGGUGGGUUCUGGGGUGUUUGGGGGUCCCUGUUGGGUGUUUUCUGGGGUGUUCGGGGUUCCCUGCGGGUGGGUUGUUUGGGGGUCCCUGUGGGUGGUUUUUGGUGUGUUCGGGGCUCCCUGCGGUGUUUUUUGGGCUGUUCGCCGCUCCUGUGUACGCGGGCCGGUUUGGGGGUGCCGGGGCUCCCCCAUUCCCCGUGCCCCACAUCCCCCCGUGCCCCCCAGCCCCCGCCGGAGCCGCAGCCGCCCUCAGCGCCGCUCUCGGUGGAGCUGGCGCUGCCCAAGCUGCCGAAGAAGCUGCCGAAGCCCCGCGGCUCGUCCGGCCCGGAGCUGCCCCCGGUGCCCCCGGUGCCCCCGGUGGCCCCGGAGCCCCCUCGCCCGCCGCGGCCCCGCCUGACCGUGCGCGAAGCCGCCGCUGCCCGGACACCGCUGCCGGAGCCCCCCGAGCUGCCCCCGGGCCCCUCCGGGCCGCGCAUCCCGGCCGUGGAGCUGGCGGCUCCGGGGGGCUCGCUGGGGCUGAGCCCACCCCCGUGGGCAAAGGGGGGUGCCGCCGCGACCCCCGCUGCUGCCGGGGGGCAUGAGGAGGGGGCUCCGGGCGCUCGGGGGGGAUUCCCGACCCUCCGCGUCCCCUCCGUGCCCAUCGACGCCCCCAAAGCCGCCGUGGAGCUGCUCCCGGAGCUCGGCCUGGCCCGCCCGGAGCGCCGCGGGGGGAGCCCGGAGCGGUUCCCGGCGGGGCUGCGGGAGCUCAGCCGGGAGCUCAGCCGGGAGCUGGAGGCUCCGGCGGGGGGAGUCGCCCCGAAACCCCCCAAAUUCCGCCUGCCCCGCCUGGGCCGGGCGCUGGCCAAGCUGCGGGAGGGCGGCGGGGCCGCGCCGGUGCCGCCGCCCGGGAUCGCCGUUCCCAGCGUGGAGCUGGACCUGGGCCCGGUGGGCGACGCCGGGGCCAAGCUGAAGGUGCCCAAAUUGUCGCUGUCGCCGUUCGGUGACACCGAGGACGGGCCCCGCUCCGCCAUCGGGGCCGCCCCGGGCUCCCCCCGGCCCCGCGCUCCGCGUUUCGGCAUCGCGGCGGCGGCGCUGCCCAAAUUCGGGGGGUCCAGCCCCGACCUCCGCCCCGGGGGGACCCCCAAAGCUGCCCCGAAACGGGGGGGCAGCGCCGAGAGUCUGAUCCUGGGCUGGACGGCCCCGGAGCCCCCCGGGACCCUCCGCCCCAGGCCCAAACCCCGGAUCGCCAUCCCCGCCGUGGGGUUCGCCCUGCCGGGAGCGGCACCGGCACCAGAACCGGCACCGGGAGCGGCACCGGCACCGGGACCGGAGCGCCCCGAGCCCCGCCGCGCCCCGGAGCCGCCGCUGCUGAAGGUGCCGGUGCUGGAACUGGCACCGCCGGGCUUGGACGGCACCUCGGAACCGCCCGGGCGCCGUUUUGGGGUGAAACUGCCCAAAUUGGGGGCUGGCCCCUCCGGGAGGAUGAGGAGGGGCGGCUCCGAGCCCGGCCGGGAGGAAGGAGCCGCCCGCCACGGGAACCCCCGGCGCCGCCGCUGGGUGCCCCGGGUGGGCUUCACCCCCUGGGUGGGCUUCACCCCCGGCGGGGCCUCGCCGGAGCCCCCCAGAUUGGGGAGGAGGCGCUUCCCCGACGUGGAGCUCUGCCCCGGGGACCCCCAAAGCCCCGGCAUUGGGGGGACCCCCAAAUUCCAGCUGCCGCAGCUGGUGCUGAGCCCCCAAAUCUGUGGCGAGCCAUGA
ensembl:lncRNA